UACAGAGGUCUCAAGCGUUGUUCGGAUUCAUUGGGCGUAAAGGGUGCGUAGGCGGCGCGGUAAGUCGGGGUGUGAAAUCUCGGGGCUUAACUCCGAAACUGCAUUUGAUACUGCGGUGCUUGAGGACUGGAGAGGAGACUGGAAUUUAUGGUGUAGCAGUGAAAUGCGUAGAUAUCAUAAGGAAGACCAGUGGCGAAGGCGGGUCUCUGGACAGUUCCUGACACUGAGACACGAAGGCCAGGGGAGCAAACGGG
rnacentral:rRNA from 1 species